GACAGAGGAUGCAAGCGUUAUCCGGAAUGAUUGGGCGUAAAGCGUCUGUAGGUGGCUUUUUAAGUCCGCCGUCAAAUCCCAGGGCUCAACCCUGGACAGGCGGUGGAAACUACCAAGCUGGAGUACGGUAGGGGCAGAGGGAAUUUCCGGUGGAGCGGUGAAAUGCGCAGAUAUCAGGAAGAACACCCGUGGCGAAGGCGGCUCUCUGGGACGGUACUGACGCUGAGACGCGAAAAGCGUGGGGAGCGAACAGG
rnacentral:rRNA from 1 species